GCGUGGCGUGCUCUCUCGACCUCUCCAGAAAAUGCCUUUGCCCCUUCUUCUACCUCCUCCACCCCCUCCUUCUCCGCACUGCUUGCUCAGUUGCUCCUACCCCUGUCUUCCGCACACACUGCCUGCGAGCGAGCAUCAGCGAGAACCUCCAACGAAGGGAGUCCCCAGCGCGCAUCCGUCGCCCGUUCAGGUAUGGAAUCUUCAAACGCCACACAUGCUUAAUUUUAUGCCAUGCCUGAUUAAUUCGAGGGACGCACCGUAGCUCGUCGAUCAGAGAUUCAGAGUGUCAGAUAGCCCCCGAGUGCUCGCUGUUUUUUUUUUGUCGCACAAUGCAGGAUGGGUCGUGGCGGUCAGGUCUUAGCAUUUACAGUACCUUUUGCGUAGGAUGGAGAAACUAAGCAAGGCACAAUUCACAAAGCAGCCAAGAUCAGGUCCGAGUAUUUGCUUCUUGCGUAGGAUGGAGAAACUAAGCAUGGCACAAAGCAGCAGGAGACCACUUGUUCAUGUGCGUGGCUGUGCCAGUGCCUAUUUGUUAAUUUCGAACGCAAAUAUUCCUAUACUGUAAACGAUAGCUUAAACCUGCCAAACCUAUUUUAGCUAGGUUGCACGCAUGACCCAUAUCAGAUACAUGGAAUUGUGUAAGGAUAUGUUAGCAAGCUAAGUUGGGUACCAAUUUUUGUCGGUCACAACUCACAACUCACAAGUUAAAUGAGAUAGGGAAAAUGUUUGGCAUAAAUGGACACUCUUAGGCUGUGAUCUGAACGAAUCUUGGUGCUGAUUUUUUAUGGUUAUGCAGGGAGGAGCAUUGAGUUCUCUAUUAGUCUGUGGUUUUCUGAAUUCUGAUGUAAGAUUGAGUCCCCAGCUCUUCCCUUUGUUUUGUGCUGAACUGAUUGUUCUAAGUAUAUGACAGGGGAAGAGCACAGAAUGAAAACAAAGUAGAUAGUUUAAGUAAUGCAUUGGUUGUUUAUAACUCAUGCUGCCCCGUAUGGGAUUCCGGAUUCUCGUGUCAAAGUCUGAUCUGAUGAUUUGGAAUUUGCUUCCGAUUGUUCAUAUUGAAAUUCAGUGACAUACUGUGUGUACCUUGUAACACAUUUAGGAUGAGGGGAGUGAUACUUGGCUAUGUAUUCUGUUUGUUGAUCUGGGUUGCUAGGUGACGCUGUAUUCAUUUGCUUUUUGAAAACCAAGAAAAUCUCACUUUGUGCUGUUAAAUUUCGUUUGUUGGCUGUUGUUGCUGGCUUGUACUUAUUACUCAUGCAAAUUUCCUUAUCGACUGGCACUUAAAUGUUUGAGGUACAUCUCGUGCUAUAAUAUAGGCCGUUAAAUGUCUCAAAAUAUCAGUUUGAAAGUCAGACUCCGUCCUGUCUUAAACGAUCUGUGACUGAGUAUCAACUAAUAUUUGAUUCCUACUCCAUUAACCUAUUUUUGGAUUCUGUAACCAUGUGUAACAACUAGCAAGUUCAAUUGUAUGUUGCAGGAUGGCUGAACAGUUCUACACUGUGGCAUCUGAUAGUGAAACCACUGGCGAAGAGAAAGCACAGCAAACAUUCCCUGAUGUUGCUAUUGGCAUUGAUAUUGGUACUUCAAAAUGCAGCGUUGCUGUUUGGAAUGGUCAUCAAGUGGAGCUGCUGAAAAACACUCGUAGCCAGAAAGGGAUGAGGUCAUAUGUCAUGUUCAAAGAUGACACCCUUUCAGCUGGUGUUACUGGAGGAGCAACCAAGGAGCACGCACAUGAGGAAAGAGAUGUUUUGUCAGGAAGUGCAAUAUUUAACAUGAAACGUUUGAUUGGCAGAAUGGACACGGAUGAAGUUGUUCAAGCUAGCAAGACCCUCCCUUUUCUUGUGCAGACAUUGGGUAUCGGUGUGAGACCAUUCAUUGCAGCACUGGUGAACAAUAUGUGGCGGUCCACAACUCCUGAGGAGGUUCUUGCCAUAUUUCUACUUGAAUUAAAGGCCUUGGUUGAGAUGCAUUAUAAGCAUCCAGUAAGGAAUACUAUUCUAACCAUCCCAGUUGCAUUCAGUCGGUUCCAACAGACAAGGAUUGAGAGAGCAUGUGCAAUGGCUGGACUGCAUGUGUUGAGGCUCAUGCCAGAGCCUACUGCCGUUGCACUUCUGUAUGCUCAGCAGCAACAGCAGCUUCUGCAUGACAAUAUGGGAAGUGGCAUUGAGAAAAUUGCUCUGAUAUUUAACAUGGGUGCUGGUUAUUGUGAUGUCGCGGUGUCUGCCACUGCUGGAGGUGUUUCUCAAAUAAGAGCACUCUCAGGUUGCACUGUCGGUGGAGAGGACAUACUUCAGAAUGUUAUGCGGCACCUCCAUCCCAAUUUUGAUAGUUUAUUUGCUGGUCACACAAUGGAUAGAAUCAAGUCAAUGGGUUUGCUGCGGAUCGCCACUCAGGAUGCGGUUCACAAACUGACCACCCAGGAAAGUAUCGAGAUCAACGUAGAUUUGGGAGGCGGCCAGAAAGUGUCAAAGGUUUUGGGUCGUGCAGAAUUUGAACAAGUGAACAAGAUGAUCUUUGAGGAAUGUGAGAGGGUCAUCAAGCAAUGCUUGCACGAUGCAAAGUUAGCCCCAGAAGACAUCAAUGAUGUGAUCUUGGUUGGAGGAUGUUCCAGGAUUCCUAAAAUCAGAAGCCUCGUCCUGGGAUUAUGCAAGAAAGCAGAUUCUUAUGCGAGUAUAGAUGUUCUAGAAGCUGCCGUGUCAGGUGCUGCACUGGAAGGAGCCAUUGCUUCAGGAGUCACUGAUCCUUCGGGGAGCUUGGAUCUGCUAACUAUCCAGGCAACACCGAUGAACCUUGGAAUCCGUGCUGACGGUGAUACCUUUGCUGCAAUAAUUCCAAGGAACACUGCAGUUCCUGCAAGAAGGGACAUGCUAUUCACAACAACACAUGAUAAUCAGACAGAGGCGCUUGUUGCCGUCUACGAAGGUGAAGGCAAGCAGGCGGAAGAGAACCAUCUGCUCGGGUAUUUCAAGAUCACCGGCAUUCCAGCAGCACCGAAGGGCGCCGUUGAAAUCAAUGUAUGCAUGGACAUCGAUGCUGCCAAUGUCCUCAGGGUGUUUGCAGGCGUUGUCAAGCCUCAAGGCCCGGCCACUCCGCCGUUUAUUGAGGUGAGGAUGCCCACACUAGACGAUGGCCAUGGCUGGUGCGGGCAGGCCCUCGCUAAGAUGUAUGGCGGUAAUCUCGACCUAGCUGUUCUCCCUAAGAAGCUGCAGCCGUGAGGAGACUUGCUUAUCUUCGCCCAGUAUAGCGGUGUUUCCCGUAUGUUAGUUCGUGCACCGUGGCUUAGUGAUGUGGACUCUACUCUUUAUGUACAGAAAGAAUAAAUUCCAGUGUCGUAUUUGUACGAUAUUGUGUUCUCUGUAGUGUGAAACGAUGUUACCUGUGCUGUGAACGUGAACUCCUGUACUUGUAUGACAGUAAGCAAGAGGUGUUUACUGUUUAGUCUCUGUUGUGCUGCAUUAAAAUACCCGGGGUUUGUAGAAUUCUUCAUUUUUCGUACUGUGAAUCUGACCAGCGUUGGGGAAAUCAGUCAAGAACUGUUGUUCUCCAAUAUACGGCCUUUCCCUAUCUCCUUCAGUUCAUGCUUGUCUACAUUCCAGGAAGAAUAAAUUCUUCCACAUUAACGGCUAGUGGCAGGAUUGUUGGGUCUCAUUGUCACAACAUCCAGAGGGAACAAAUAGGCGGUAUCAUGCGUCUGGCGUCCAGGUACAACGUGACGUGUAACGGCUGCAACAAUCAGAUGGCCAAUGGGCAGCCCAGAACGGGCUAAAACGUGCGUGUAAAGAUCAUGGGCUCACACAUCAGUGCUGGGUGCAAACGGUGCACGCACUGGGCAUUGCUGACUGGACAAUCCAGCGGGACGACGACUUCCCAAUUUCCCCUGGUCAGUAACACGAGGUGCGUGAAUCGCCUGCUUCUAGUUGUAGUAUCUUUUUGCAAAAUAAUAAUAGCAGAUCGGUAGAGGGAAGAUCAUUUUCCGUAGAGGCUUUUUGGUAACUAGACGUGCACCAACCCAAUCAGUAGACUAGUAGAGGUUACGGCCUACCACGCAAAAAUUAUUCUACGUACUACCAUUUUGACUCCAGCUUCGUGCGAUUCAGAGAACAAUUGCAGUGCUGUAACACUCGAUCGACGACGGUGACUCUGAACUCAGCAGAUCGAUAUUUCCAUACGUGUUCAGCAGUGCUGUCUGUCAAGAAUUAUGUCUUCUUUUUUGACUGCACGAAUUAUGUCUUCUUAACAAGGUCGCCGGUGAAACGGACUUUGUCGAGAAAAUUAUAGCGCGUUUACUUAUCAGUUACCGCAGAGUCAAGGCCCAGCCUGGACCGGAUAUGCCUUGGCGCUGCUCGGGCAGCAGUAGUUUCCGACUUUGCCUGAGCGCGACUGGUCCGUUUGUUCAUACGCACCGGAAGUCCGGAACACAAGUCAAAUCAAAGAGAUCAUCAGGGACUUCCCCACUGGAAAACGGUGCUACGCAUACGUGAUACACCGAUGCGUGGCGUUGAUUACGUGCUCGCCGGUGUAUUUUACUGCACGGUCAAAGGAUUUCGCAAGUGAAAAAGAAUCUUUACAAGACCAACGCAUGCCUCCAGGUCCUACCUGUUCUUGAGGGCGUGGCCAGCUCGUGCUGCGCCCAAGUGUCUGCCUCGUUCGUCAGCGACUGGAAAUUUUAAGACAAAUAUAUAUCCCGCCUGCCCUGGUGGAAUACGGAAUACGUACUCCAGUUCGUGUCAAACAUCGCAAUCCGCCACCGAUCCAGCUGAUCCAACAAGGCAAAAUUGCGGCGUCGCACGGCACAUAUCGUUAAUUAUUUUUUUCCUGAACGCAUCGAGGAGACUUUGGCGUGUAAAGCGUGCCUGACCGUUUUGAUUUCUCGCGACGUACCUGAAGUGAUAAGACUAGUUGACUUUUAUCAUCACGGUAUGAACUGAGCGUCAAGGGCAACGUGCAACAACCCACAUUUUAGUUGUUGGAUUAUAUAAACGUUCGAAGCGAAUUUCGAUUCCGUGUAGAGGGCUAUUGAUAGAGCCAGGUUAUUCUCUUAAUUUGGAGUCGCGGCCAUGUUCCUUUUUCUCGUCAGCGUAACGUGGAUGGAUAACGAAUUAAAGUACGCCAUCGAGAACUGAUUUCAGCAUGUUUUCCCCGGAGAUUGCAAAAACUAAUAAAAAGUUCAAGAAUCAAAUGCUGUAUCUCGUCACAUCUCCGUGGACGCCAUAUAAUUUAUUUCGCAAAUUCAUAAUGGACAUCAUCAUAGCAAUAUGUAGUGUGCUGUACCUGUACGAUCGCAUCUAGAUGAAAUCCCCAGUUGAAGAUAAACUAGCACCACUUGCCAAGAUCACUUUCCCCUUUGUGACCAUGAAAAGUAAACGCACGCACCAAUCUAAACGCCGCCGUCUGUGUGCUAGUACUGUACUAGAAGGAACAGCCGACAAGGUGUCAAUUUUUUCUUACGUACGCUUGUAGUUGUAGUGUCCACGUUGUCACAUAUUCUCUCAAGAAAAUUUGCCGCACGUGACGUAUAAUUUUCCUUGAAUUAAUGUUCAAAGUCACGGUUUUCUAAUGAUCUAUUCACAUGAACCAAGCAAACACAGCUGCGCUCAUUGUUGACACUACUCGGAUAUUCAGAGCUUACACUCGAGACUGACAUGUGGAUCCGUGCAUAACAUCGAGGACUCUCGUUGUCAGGAAGGUCGGCGUUGGAUAAUACUCGGAGCUUUCCUAGAAACUACUUGCUCUCUAUAGUUUCCAAAAAGGAACCCAAAAGGCUCGGAAUGUUUUGGAUAAGCUAUAAUUUGUGGCAGCGAAGGAAAAGAAAAGUCUCUGGCCCGUGGGCCGUGGAGCCGUCCGUUGACUGGCCAGCCAACGAGCAAGCGAGCUAGAGGGCCGUCCCGCGGGGCCCACCGGACGAGUCCUCAAGGCGACGUGGACGCAUCUGGCCGCUCGGACGCGUUUGAAAUUUCUCCAAGGAGGGGGCUUCCCUCUCUAUAUAAACAGACCGACUUGGAGCCUUGUGUCUCAUCCCCCCAUUUCCUUUGCUUGUGUGGAGAAACAGAAGCACUCGGCCGGGCCUCCAUUGCUGCCCUGCUUGUUCAGAGAGACGAGAGCAUCGAUCCUCCUGAGGGAGAGCAUCGAGGGGCGAAGAUGGCGGGCGGAGGGUUCUCGGUGUCGUCGUCGGCCGGCACGGAGUUCGAGGCCAAGAUCACGCCGAUCGUCAUCAUCUCCUGCAUCAUGGCGGCCACCGGCGGGCUCAUGUUCGGCUACGACGUCGGCAUCUCAGGUAUAUAUAUAUAUAACUGCAUACAUGCAUAUAUAGUUGCUUGUUUUCUGAUUAAGAUCGUCGUCUCCAUGUGCACACAUGGGCGGAAUAAUCAAGUGAAAUCUCCUCUCACAUGUCCUGUGACGACGAUCCAUACGUCGUAUUAUUUCUCGUAUGUGUACGUUCAUGUUCAUGCGUCGUAGUCCUUUUGGAGCCAGCUUGGUGGGAGGAUGUUAACCGAGUGGAUAUGUGAUGCUGAAAGAAGCAUUCAUUUAGGUUUUGACUGCAAGUUCGUCUUCCGAUGACGGAGCAGAUAACCCCGAAAUUAAUGCAAUUAAUCCCCGUCAUUAACUACCACUCACCAGCCAGCUUAUCAUUACCAUUUUUUGUUAAUCCACUGUGAAUACUAUCCUCGUUUGGAAAAAAAGUGUGAAUACUAUCAAGUUUUUUCUUGGUGUUCAUGCUCGAUUUCUUUGUGGAGAUUGCAAACCGAGCCUGCCUCUCGGUUAUUCAUAUAUGCAGCUGGACUCUGAUCCUGUGAGCUAGCAUCCCCAGCAUUAUUUUACUGUUAAAUAAUAUCUGGAAAUUAUUUUAGUCUUGAGCUUGCCACCUACAGUACCUCGACAGGCUGUUAAGUCAACCCAUUUGUACAACUGCCGGAUCACGACACGUUGCCUUUUGAUUUAAGCCAAUUAAUUAAUGAAUUGAUUCUCACUAAAUUAAGAAAAUCUUAUCCGUUUCAUUCAAAUCGUCCAAAUUUUCUUGGGUUGUUCAGAGCGUCCAGCUCAAUUACAGGCGGCGUAUGUAAUUGAGGCAAACUGUAUCGAAUCAAUAUUACUACCUAUGAAAAAUCUUUCUAAAAAAAUGUAAUCUUUUUCUCAGGUGGCGUGACAUCCAUGGACGAUUUCCUGCGUGAGUUCUUCCCGGCGGUGCUUCGCAGGAAGCAGCAGGACAAGGAGAGCAACUACUGCAAGUACGACGACCAAGGUCUGCAGCUCUUCACUUCGUCGCUGUAUCUCGCCGGCCUCACGGCCACCUUCUUCGCCUCCUACACCACCCGCCGCCUCGGCCGCCGCCUCACCAUGCUCAUCGCCGGCGUCUUCUUCAUCGUCGGCGUCAUCUUCAAUGGCGCUGCACAGAACCUGGCCAUGCUCAUCGUCGGCAGGAUCCUGCUCGGCUGUGGCGUCGGUUUUGCCAACCAGGUAUGUUAGCAGAAUUUUCCCUUCGAAACAAUACACUUUUGCAUCAUGUGUUAAGGCAAAACUACGUUUUCGGCAACAGCGUCUGAUUGAUAAGUGCCAGUUAAGUCAAAAGGUCUUCGUAGAAAUUGAAGUCAAGCAUGUCAAGCUAGCGGUGGCUGGUUUUUGAGAAUAUGUUGAACGCACGCACGAGACAUAAUUUUCCGCGUCUCUGAAAAAGACGCACCGCUUGCGCAGUUUCUUCCAUGUUUGGUGGCAAUCAGUCACCGUCCAUGCAUGGUAAGAGUACUAAAGAAUCUUGGCCCAAAACCUAUUAUCUUACGAUUUUGUUCGUCCAGAUUGACACUCUAAAAAAUGUAUUUUAUACCUAGUAUAUAUGAUGGCAUCUUUACUACGUACGGCAGGUGCGUCGUAUACAUCAUACGGAGACACCUUGUGUUUGCCGGAAUUUAAGGGUCAAACGCGUAGAAUUAAACUACUCCAUUGGAGUAUGCAUGGUAGUAUAGUAAUUCCAUGUAUCGACACAUGGGGCAGAUGACGGUGCCGAUCGACGCUCGUGCUUUCGUGCAUGACUUGUGUUCGUGUGCACUUCCAUUGGCGGCAUCAUAUAGCGCGCGAUAACCUUUUAAAGUGCCAUGGUUCCGAUGCUCCCGUCCCGUGGCUCCAAGCUUAGAAUUUACUGGACCAAAUGCUUGGAGAAGUUUGAACCAACCAACAGGUGAUAGGUGCACGUACGUAAUAAUAUCCCGUUGGUUUUACUCAGUCUCCGGCUAGUUUGCUGCUGGUGUGGCUGCCUGUUCUUCAGUUGUCACGCGGCUGCUAUCAACAUGGACUAGUAUAUACCACAGCGGCUUUGGAUCGUUCCGUUUUUGUCGAAACCGGCUGUCGUAAUAUCUAGUUGAUGGAGUAGUACAGCACUAUCGAAAUCAACACUUCCGUGUCCGAACUUGAACUUGGUACUGAACUUGGUACGACAGAACGAUGGAUGCUUCUAGCCAGCCCAGCUGAUGCGAUGGAUAGUACUGAUUGUCGUAUGAAAAUCGUACGCAUGAUGUCGUACGUGUAGCAGUGUCGCAGCAAAAUUGACUUGGAGGCGUAGGCCGAAAUUACUACGACCACUUGGCUGCUAGCUACAGAACGUGCUUGACCACUUGGCUGCUAGCUACAUCCACGGUGCCGAUCGACGCUCGUGCUUUCGUGCAUGACUUGUGUUCGUGUGCACUUCCGUUGGCGGCAUCAUAUAGCGCGCGAUAACCUUUUAAAGUUUCAUGGUUCCGAUGCUCCCGUCCCGUGGGUCCAAGGUCCAAGCUUAGAAUUUACUGGACCAAAUGCUUGGAGAAGUUUGAGCCAACCAACAGUUGAUUGGUGCACGUAAUAUCCCGUUGGUUUUACUAGUCUCCGGCUAGUUUGCUGGGGUAGCUGCCUGCUCUUCAGCUGUCACAUGGUUGCUAUCAACAUGGACUAGAAUAUACUGUAGUGGCUUUGGAUCGUUCCUUUUUCGUCGAACCCGGAUGUCGUAAUAUCUAGUUGAUGGAGUAGUACAGCACUAUUGACUUGGAGGUGUAGGCCGAAAUUACUACGACCACUUGGCUGCUAGCUACAGAACGUGCUUGACUUGGAAAUACUUCAAUCGGAUUCUUCUGGUUCCGUUCCUGUCGAACGUGGAAACUGAAAUCAGGCAGCUUUCACUGACAGAACGGCGCAUUCUAUUGUUGGGAGUUUUUCUUCCACAUAGAAAGAAUCAAUUGUUUGGACAUUUACUAGUUUUUGUAUUGGGAACACACUGACAUAUGGGACGAUAGACUCAAUAUUCACUUAUACAAAGCGUAGACAAGACUAGGAGUUCAUACCACUAAUUUAUAUACUAGUACUACAAUUGGGCAAUUUUUUUGAUCAUGCUACAUUAUAGAGAUUACGAUAGCGACUCACUUGUCUUGUUUGAUGGCUGAUAUGGUUAUUGGUUAGGUUCAACCGCUAAGCUAGCAUGAAAGCACGUUCAGGGGAGCGAUGUCUAGGGAUUUUUUUUUUUUUGGACUUCAAGAGAAUAUUUGGAAAUGGCAGAAUCUAAAGGCAUGGGCCCGUCUGAAACGAUUGAUUAGUUACAACUUACAACUCACAAGUGUAGUGUGCAAUUUCAUUCCCAGUUAGUUAGAGCUAUCGUCAUGGCAAAAUGGAAAGGAGUUAAUUCUUUUUGAACUUUGGAAAGAAAAUAUAUGCUUUUUUUUGGCAAGAAAUGCAACUCGUACGAGUUGUUAUCGAUCCAGAGUUUUGCAUUGGAAAAAAGAGAGGGAAAGAAGACGUAUGAGCCCAAUGGGCCUCAUUAAGAGAACAUUUAUCAUUUCGUGAUUUUCACAUGAUCUGCAUCGCUAACUGAGGAACACUACUUGCAGGC
rnacentral:lncRNA from 1 species